rnacentral:tRNA from 1 species
AUGGCUAUAGUAGUCAAGCACUUGCCUAGCAUGCAGGAGGCCUGGGUUCAAUUCCCAGU